UUCGCAAUGCCCGAAAGGGUGACGAAGCGACGCCGCGUGUGGGAAGAAGGCCUUCGGGUUGUAAACCACUGUCGGGAGUUAGGAAAUGUAAGGGUGCUAAUAGUAUCCUUACUUGACUAAGGCUCCGGAGGAAGCCACGGCUAACUCUGUGCCAGCAGCCGCGGUAAUACAGAGGCGGCAAGCGUUGUUCGGAAUUAUUGGGCGUAAAGAGCACGUAGGCGGCCUUGUAAGUCAGUUGUGAAAGCCUUCUGCUUAACGGAAGAACAGCAGCUGUUACUGCAAGGCUAGAGUGCGGAAGGGGAGAGUGGAACUUCUGGUGGAGCGGUGAAAUGCGUAGAUAUCAGAAGGAACACCGGCGGCGAAGGCGACUCUCUGGUCCGUAACUGACGCUGAGUGUGCGAAAGCUAGGGGAGCAAACGGGAUUAGAUACCCCGGUAGUCCUAGCCGUAAACGAUGGGCACUAAGUAGAGGGGUUUU
rnacentral:rRNA from 1 species